CACAUUAUGACUUUAAUGCCACAUGAUUAAGUACGCAUGUUAGUACCAACAGCUCUGGUGUUGGACUGUGUUACAGUCUGUAACUGGUGAACUGGUGAACUGGUGAACUGGUGAAUGGUUUAGUUUCAAUAACUAACGCUGUAAUUUCAGGAAUUCAUCCUGCAGCACUGGCUGUACCAGUUGUGGUUGUGGUCCUGGCUGUGGUUGCGAUUUUUGGCUAUAUUAGACACAAGAAAGAGCAAAAACAAGCACAGAAUGUUGAAGAAGCCAUUGAUGAGACGUCUGCUAUCGGCCUGAAAGCCGUGACGGAAAGUGGUAAGAUUAGAUCAUUUAAAGUCUGGAUUCAUCCCUCAUUUCUUUACACUUUAAUCAAAAGCAGACAGACGUCCUUGUUGUCCUCUAGAGCCGCCUCAACCAACAUAACACCAUAUUUCUCCAGUUUACUCAACAGUAAUUUAUGACUUGUAGUGUCAAAUGCUUUGUUUGCUCCCACAGCAUCUUCCUACUUAUCAAUCACGUUAGCUAAAUCUUCUAAUAGUUGGUGUACAGCCGUUGGAGUUGACCUUUAUAGCUCUAAUUUCCAUGAAAUUGUCAAGUCGUUGCUGAAACUAUUUUUCUACAGUGAGAAAAAAACUGAGAGAUGAGAUAAAUUGUUCUAUUAAUGGAGAACUGAUGUUUAUCGCCACUCUUACACGAUGGAAUGGCUUGUUUUGUUUACAUUUUACAUGGAAAUAGAUCCAUUUGAAAGGACAUAACUUCAAAUAUCAAUUCAGUCAGAUAUCAACGCGUAAAAGAAACGCAGUUGAACUCACAUUUUCAUCUCUGUUGCAGGAAUAAGUUUGGAAAGUAUUGAAAGUACUGGACUGCGCUCAGGUUCAGUACGGAAGUUCAGUUCUGCACUAGAACAUUAUCUCCAAGAUGAAGAAGAACAGUGGGUGCAGCACCAUCCGGAGUACAGGAAGUUAAGCCGCGAGCUGCGGGAAUACCGGCUUCAUAGAGACCUCUAAAUUCAUCACAGAUGUAUUGAAUCAAGCAAAGCACCGCUUGACCUUUUUAUUUUGCCACCUCUUAACAAACUAAAUUCAUUUUAUUGGGAUUUUGGAAGCAAAGUAUUUUAGAUCAAUUAUUUGUUACACCCCAAAUCAACUUUUUCUGCUCAUAAAGUCUCUAAACUGGUCCUCAAGGGUAUUGUCUUUAUGUUUCUGUGAAAAUUGUUACAUUUUUGUGUUUAAUUCUGUAAUAUUAGGCCUAAGACAGUCUCAGUGCUGCCCUCUUCAGGUUGAACAGGGUAACAACUGUACAGCUUGGUUAGCGUUUGUGUCACACAGCACCAUGUUUGGGUAUAAAACCUUCUCACUCUAGACAGUUACUGCAGCGUGAAAGGUGCUUUCACAUGCCGUCAACAUAGAAAUCUAGAGUACAAAGUUCCCACAAGGCUGAAGUGGAAAUGAUCGGCGCCAUCUUUGUAGGCAAGCACAUACACAUGACUUCAAGACCAGCAAAAAGAAAAUAUGUGGACACUGUUGACCGAUGUUUGAGAGAAAGAUACAUGAACAAAAUGGUUUGGUUGGAGUUUUAUAAGAAUCGUCUGGAGGCGGAGUCGUGCUUUCACAGGGACACAAGUUACACUUUUGAGCAGCAAUCCUCACAUGACAGCAGUUGGUUAAUAGGUACACAGUUGUGAAAAAGUUUAAAGUGAUUAGAUUUCGUUCACCUAAAAUGAAACGGCAGACGGCGGCAAUAUUAACCAGAGAAGAAACCAAGAGACCUAUUUUAACUCUGGAGGAGCUGCAGAGAUCCACAGCUCAGGUUGGAGAAUCUAUUCACCAGAGCUGGGCAGAAACUAGUUCUUUUUACUUAAUUGUAUUUACUUGUGUAACUUUAAGAGGAAAAACAGCUUAAAAAUAGUUUUACUGCGCCACACUUUUUAUUUUUAAAUUAGUAAUAGUAUUAUGAAGUACUCUUACUUGGAUAAAAUUUCAUUUCACUCUAACAACAACAAGUAAGUUGAAUGAAGAACAAGUUCUAACCAGAAUUCUACCAGACACAAACCUACAAUUUAUGUCAAAGUGAGACCUCUUAUUCAUACACAAGCUUUGUCUUCUCUAAUGCUAAUUUCAAAUUGCUGAGCUAUUUGGAAAUGAAGAUAUAAUAAACACCAGACAUAAUCCUGAAAGUUCAUAUAUAAUACAAAAGUUUAAUACAUGCACUGAAUAAAAAAAGACACUGUUUUUAUCUCUGAAGUUAAUUCAAGAUAAAGUUUAGAGCACCAUAAUAAGUUAUAUUUGUUAAAUGCCAGAAAACAUAAUUUUCCCUGGCAAUUUUUAGAGCUUUUUAAAAGAAGUUUACAAACAUUUGGUCGGUAUAUAAUUGUCUUUGUGAACUUGGGUCAAACCUGACCUGCUUGCAGUAUUGUUAUAAAGUUUCUUCUACCUAAAUGUGUUCUUUUGUAAUUAUUUUAUUUGUGUUAUUUUUCUUUUUUCAUUUUAGACUUUAAGAUAUAUGACGUAUUUGUGCUGCUUCUAGAUAAGAGAAGUGAGGUUACUUGGUUAUGUUACGUUGUCAUGGUUACUAAUAAACAAACGUUGUAAACAUCUUCGCUGGUGA